GGCUAACGCUGGCGGCGUGUCUUAGCCAUGCAAGUCGAGCGGACUUAUGGGGUAACUUAUAAGUCAGCGGCGGACGGCGGAGUAACACGUAGCUAACCUACCCUCUGGACGGGGAUAACCUACCGAAAGGUGGGCUAAUACCCGAUGUAGUCAUCCUGUAUAGGGGUGAUGAAAGGUGGGCUUCUGUUUACAAGCUCAUGCUGGAGGAGGGGCUGCGGCCUAAUCAGGUAGUUGGUAGGGUAAUAGCCUACCAAGCCGAUGACGGGUAGCCGGCCUGAGAGGGUGACCGGCCCGAGGGGCACUGAGAUACGGGUCCCACUCCUACGGGAGGCAGCAGGCUAGAAAUUUGGGCAAUGGGGGAAACCCUGACCCAGUGACGCCGCGUGCAGGAAGGAGCCCUUCGGGGUGUAAACUGCUGUCGUGUAGGGAGAAGGGUACUAAGGUGAACAAUCUUAGUACUUGACGGUACUACAGGAGGAAGCCCAGGCUAACCUCGUG
rnacentral:rRNA from 1 species